rnacentral:rRNA from 1 species
UCGAGAAUCAUUCGCAAUGGGCGCAAGCCUGACGGUGCGACGUCGCGUGGAGGAUGAAGGUCUUCGGAUUGUAAACUCCUGUCAUGUGGGAUAAAUGGCCAGGGCAUGAAUAGUGCCUUGGAAUGAUAGUACCACAGGAGGAAGGGACGGCUAACUCUGUGCCAGCAGCCGCGGUAAUUCAGAGGUCCCGAGCGUUGUUCGGAUUUACUGGGCGUAAAGGGAGCGUAGGCGGUUUGGUGUGUCGAAUGUGAAAGCCCACAACUCAACUGUAGAAUGGCAUUCGAAACUACUGAUCUAGAGUACUGGAGAGGAGAGCGGAAUUCUUGGUGUAGCGGUGAAAUGCGUAGAUAUCAAGAGGAACACCGGUGGCGAAGGCGGCUCUCUGGACAGAUACUGACGCUGAGGCUCUAAAGGUAGGGGAGCAAACAG